UAGCAGAGCUGCUUAUUCUUCAACUUAAGA
rnacentral:piRNA from 1 species